rnacentral:rRNA from 1 species
UACAGAGGGUGCAAGCGUUGCUCGGAAUUACUGGGCGUAAAGCGUGUGUAGGCGGUCUCGUAAGUGGGGUGUGAAAGCCCUAGGCUCAACCUAGGAACUGCGCCCCAAACUGCGAGACUUGAGUGUCGGAGAGGAUAGUGGAAUUCCCAGUGUAGAGGUGAAAUUCGUAGAUAUUGGGAGGAACACCAGUGGCGAAGGCGGCUAUCUGGACGAACACUGACGCUGAGACACGAAAGCGUGGGGAGCAAACAGG